AGCUCAUCCAGAGGGACUGAGGGAACGGCCCGUUGAAGUCCCGGCAACCCCCCCACCGACCGUGAGGUCCGGUGAGGAAGGUGCCAAUUCCGUCUCGUGGCGAAACGCGCCGCGAGGAAGAUGAGGA
rfam:Streptomyces albus subsp. albus strain NRRL B-2513 B2513contig1927.1, whole genome shotgun sequence.